GGCGCAGCAGCGCCGCGUGGGGGAAGAAGGCCUUCGGGUUGUAAACCCCUUUCAGGAGGGACGAAGGUUCACCGGUGAACAGCCGUGUGGAUUGACGGUACCUCCACAAGAAGCUCCGGCUAACUACGUGCCAGCAGCCGCGGUAAUACGUAGGGAGCAAGCGUUGUCCGGAAUCAUUGGGCGUAAAGCGCGCGUAGGCGGCCCUGUAAGUCCGCUGUGAAAGUCAAAGGCUCAACCUUUGAAAGCCGGUGGAUACUGCAGGGCUAGAGUACGGAAGAGGCGAGUGGAAUUCCUGGUGUAGCGGUGGAAUGCGCAGAUAUCAGGAGGAACACCAAUAGCGAAGGCAGCUCGCUGGGACGUCACUGACGCUGAGGCGCGAAAGCGUGGGGAGCGAACAGGAUUAGAUACCCUAGUAU
rnacentral:rRNA from 1 species